UGCACUUUUGUGGGUUUGUGCGUGUGCGUG
rnacentral:piRNA from 1 species